rnacentral:rRNA from 1 species
UCGCUGUAGCAAUACAGUGGAAAGUUUAGUGGCGAACGGGUGCGUAACACGUGGGCAAUUUGCCUUAAAGUGUGGGAUAGCUCGGCGAAAGCCGGAUUAAUACCGCAUGUGGCUACUGGAGACAUCUUCGGGACGCUAAAGGUGGCGCAAGCUACCGCUUUUUGAGGAGCCCGCGGCCUAUCAGCUUGUUGGUGAGGUAACGGCUCACCAAGGCGUUGACGGGUAGCUGGUCUGAGAGGACGACCAGCCACACUGGGACUGAGACACGGCCCAGACACCUACGGGUGGCAGCAGUCGAGAAUUUUUGACAAUGGGGGAAACCCUGAUCGAGCGACGCCGCGUGGAGGAUGAAGGUCUUCGGGUUGUAAACUCCUGUCAUUUGGGAACGAGGCGUGGAUAUUAACUGUACACACGUUGAUAGUACCAGAAGAGGAAGAGACGGCUAACUCUGUGCCAGCAGCCGCGGUAAUACAGAGGUCUCAAGCGUUGUUCGGAUUCAUUGGGCGUAAAGGGUGUGUAGGUGGCGCGCUAAGUCGGGUGUGAAAUUUCGGAGCUUAACUCCGAAACUGCAUUCGAUACUGGCGUGCUUGAGGACUGGAGAGGAGACUGGAAUUCUCGGUGUAGCA